UCUUUGCAACAGAAUAAAUUAAUUCUAUAUAUUACAAAUAUUGCAAGUUAAGUUCAUAAUUUUAUAUUCGCAUCACAAUCACUUGCGAGGCAAACACAGCAUGUUAUUUACAUGUCUUUAUUUUCAACUGGUGGUGCAACAAAUAGCGUUUAUCGAUUAGCACAAUGUCCCGCUUCUUGCAUGCAGACCGCACUCUGAAUGAAGACUUGCGCAAUCACUUUGAUACAUCUCCGCUUCAACUAAAAAAAGUCUAACGAAAGUGUUCAGUAUCACUUAAAAAAUAAGAUUAUGAUAACCGUAUCCGAGCCUAAUAAAUCGAUGUUGGCUCCGUAACAAAUAUCACAAUUAUAAUCUUCAGCUAAAUUGCUGAUUCGUGAAAUUAAUCAGUGCCUGUUUAGAGUCACGCGCUACCACAAUUACAGAGACUGUUCCAUCCAAAUAACAUGCUACAUCUUCAUAGAUUUUACAGUUAUGCUUUGCAUACUCUAUUUCUUUUGAGGAGCAGAAUCUUAAGAUUAAGAUAAAUGCGGUUGGUCUCGUGAACCACUGAAUUAUAAGCGGAAUAAAUGGCUGCUAUUGCGCGACUAAGACACACAUUGCUGCAUUGAGAUGGAGAAACAAUUUGGUACGUAAAAUUUUUGUAAAUAUAAUUGUACAUCUUUAGACUUGUUUUCCAUUAUGAUUCUUUCAAUGGAACAAAAAUUGACAGAAAGAGUAUAAAUAGCGUACAUUAUCAUGUACAUAUCUAUAAGCUUUAAUAUUUUCAUAUUUUGCUACAUAAAUGAAAUUUUAACACAAUAGGUAGAGAAGCUGCCAAUGUCAAUUAGCGUAAGAUUAACAAAAGUUAAUAUUAUUAGCAUUUGCAUAUUUAACAGUGCAAUGUUUAUUAGUGUAAAAAGAAGUUGACAAAACGGCAUAUAUAACCGAUUGGUAUCUCUUACCUCGUAAGGCAGCUCUUGAUUUGAUCCUGAUUAUAUCAAGAUCGAGUGCCGUAAUCAAAAUAGUUGCUAGAAAAUUAGAUUCAACUAUCGUGACCUUUAGUAACGUAUUAACAGAUUUCUUUUUAGAAUUUGUAGGAGAUCACUGUCACGUGAUCGUACGAUUUAAUCGUUCGUAUUUUCGAAGUAUAAUUUUUCAUAUUUUAUUUCUCGAUACAGUAUUUUCAUGCCGCCAAAACAUUAAUCGUAGCGUAUUUUCCGCGCAAGGAAUCAACGCGACUUUUCUGCGAGCAAUUAUCGAUCAGACUUGCACGCGUCUCUCUCACAAAGUGCAUCACCCUAUCUGUUCAUCAUCGCUCUAAAGAGACGCGCAGGCGCUCGUUCGAACGUAGUUCUAAGCGGUGUACAGUUUGCCGCAGGCAGUGCAUCGUGUGCCCCCGCGAAGCGAUCAUGACGCAUUCCGACCAUGUGACAAGGAGCAUCGAGCUCCCUCACGGAAGCGAUUAUAGUCUUCAAUUGACACGUUGGUUUCUAAUACCGAUCGGCGCUUGGCCGCGAAUGAGUACGACGACGAGAGUGAAGAGGAUCUCUUCGCACAUGCACAUUUUUGUAUGCACAUCUUUAAUAGCAAUCAUCAUGGUGCCGUGUCUGUUAUACGUGUCACUGGAGGAGAAAGACACCGAGAUCAAAUUGAGCGUGAUAGGUCCGCUGAGCCACUGGAUCAUGGGUAUGAUCAAUUACUGUCUGCUUCUCACGCGCAGUAACGAUAUCCGUGAAUGCGUACUGCACAUGGAGAUGGACUGGCGGCUCGUUCGAAAGAUCGAGGAUCGUCAGAUAAUGAUGCGACAGGCCAAGAUCGGCCGCUUCGUCGCCGGUUUCUGCGCGAUGUUCAUGCAGAGCGGCACGUUUCUCUUCGCUGUACGUAAAUCGCUGUCAACAACUAUCGUCAUCGUCGGCAACGAAACCGUCUCGAUGCAUCCGAUGACCUGCCCGUUUUACAACAAGUUGAUCGACACGAGGUUCAGUCCUGCGAAUGAGAUCAUGGUGGUCGUAGAAUGGCUGUCAUGUUUUAUAGUGAAUUCUGUUACGGUGGGCGCUUGCAGUCUUGACGCCGUCUUUGCGAUGCACGCCUAUGGUCAGCUGAACAUGCUGUUUUCGUGGUUAAACAAACUCGUUAUAGACGAAGAUAAGGAAAACAAAUGCGUCGAGCAAAGACUGGCUAUUAUUGUGGAACAUCAUUUAAGGGUGCUGAGUUUUAUAUCACGUAUGGAAACCGUUAUGCGACAUAUCUGUCUAGUGGAAUUGCUGGGAUGUACGAUGAAUAUGUGUUUUCUUGCAUAUUAUUUUAUUACGAAUAUGGACUCAUUUGAUGGGGCAAAGACAACGUCGUAUGUCAUUAUAUACUUAUCUAUGGCUUUCAAUAUUUUUAUAUUUUGUUACAUCGGUGAGAUUCUCACAGAACAGAAAAAAAUAAAGCUUAAAUUUAUUAGUGCAAGAACGUCGGCGAAAGAGCGUAUAUGAUUAAUUGGUAUGAACUACCGCACAAAACUGCCCUUGGACUUAUUUUGGUGAUAGCACGAUCGAAUAACAUUAUCAAGAUGACUGCUGGAAAAUUAUUUCAUUUAUCUAUCGCGACUUUCGGAGAUGUAAUUAAAACUUCCGUGGUAUAUUUGAAUAUGUUACGAACAAUGAGAACGUCCGUGUGAAUCAAAUUAAAUUAGAAAAAGUGAGAAAUAUAUUUUGUAUAGUACUUGUGAUAGUAGAAAUAUUUAAUAAAGAAAAAUUACGCCGAGCACAAUACAAUUUUUAUAUUUACGUUAUUAAGAGUACAAUAAAGUUGCAUGUCAUCCAAGAUAGCUUUCUCAAAAUUAAAGUUUAAUAUAAAUAAAAAUCAAAUACAUCAGCUCAUGAUUAUGAUAUAUUAAAUACCUGAUCAAAUAAAAUCCAAUGCUUUUCUCCAAUAUAUCUUAUGUAUCGUAUGAAAUCACAACUCAUAUUUACACAUAAUAGCAAAAAAAAAGUGACAGAAUAUUGCACCAUCCUUUCCGUGCAUACGAUUUUCGUGAACUGCCACCGUCCAAAC